rnacentral:sRNA from 1 species
AAUAGUUAGUGACAUCAUUUCCCUUUUGUUCUCAAUGUCUUCCGUCUAGGGCAUAGAGAAGCACUUCAUAGACUCGCUUGUCCCACUCCGUUAAACAUCAUGUCCAAUAAAGCAAAAACUGAAAGCAGCAAUAAGGCAGCCGAAACAGAUGAUUGCCCUCCGUUAAGACCACCAUGUUAUGUUCUUCUGCCACCCUGUCCGAAGAAAAAGACGCCAACCCCUCCACCAGAACCUGAACCAGAGAUGCCACCCUGUCCAUGCCCACCGCCACUUCUACCACCUUGUAAUAAAUGCCAAGACGGCACAGGCCAGCCCGCAACUGCGAAAAAACAGUGAGUUUCCAGUCGGAAAGGAAAAAGUUUAAGCUGUCUAGACGAGACUUCAGAUCCAAGUGCACCGUAUCACCGUUUUUUGCAGGACACCAACUCUCUAGGGCACCUUCAAACUCCAAUCUGCAGAUAACAUGAACCAAAACAAGAUGAUGAUUUGAAAUCUCUGGGAAGAUUAUUGACCAGUGAAGCGAACGUACCAGGAACCCGGACAAGAUAACAUGGACAUAAAGAUUCAGUGCGGACACAACAUUUUGGGGGGAUCUUUGAACGAUAGGAACAGAUCGGAAAGGGACAAAACAGAAAGUGAUUUGUCAUUACAGCAAAAGAAUUCAAGUCCAUGUCUCGUAUUCAUUCAAAUUAACAUUUGGAGUUUUCAUGAGCGAUUGAAAACACUAAAAAAACACACAGGAAUAAAUUAACAUAAAAAAAUAAUGUGAAAUAAUGUAAAAUGUAAUAGAUGAAAACAUCGACGUUUUAAAAACAAAUGGCCUUCUAAAAAUAAAGUCUGCAUAAAACAUG